UUAUAUUUACCGAACUAUUUGACACGGUCGCGUCAACUGUGUUUACGAGUGUCUUGUGUUCAGAUUGUUUUAAGUGAUAAUUUAACAAUAUUUUUCCAAAUAAAUGGAAAGAAACUUUUAUUUAUAUCAAAUAAUUGAGUGUCUCGACUGUGUGACAUUAUGUCUUGUGUGGUAUGGGGCUGCAGCUCACAUUCAGGAAGAAAAGAAAAUAGCCAACAACUUCUGUCGUUUCAUCGAUAUUAAAUCCAAAAGUGUCGACUGGAUUUACAUGAAAAGUCAGUUCAAGAAGACGAGAUGAAAAAUUUAAAAGAAAAGCUGAACAAGUCCCGCCUCAAGAUCAAACGACUUAAUGAAAAAAAAAAAACAUUGUGACAGGGUGUCACAAAGACAGUUUCUAAUUUCUAAGCUGUUUAGAAAUUAAUAAAUUUGUAUUUAUUGUAAAUAUAAUGUACAUAAUUAAUAACGUGUGAAAUAAAUACUUGCUAAUGAAAAUGAACAGAUUUACGAUCUAAUUUAUAUUUCAUUUUACCUCGUGUUCUUAUUUACUCCUACUCCAACACUCCAGGUUGAUACGAACUGCGCCCAAUAAAGAAUGUAAUGAAUGUUAUAGAUUUGUGUAAGCGACUUAGAUAAAUCUUGACUAAACCUUCCUUUACAAAUACAAAUAUACUUUAUUGCACACAACAUACAAUACUUACAAGUUUUACACGAAAGAUACAGUACACCACCUACCUACCUUUUACUUUCCCUUUCUGUUCUCUUAUGAAUACUUGU
rnacentral:lncRNA from 1 species